UACGUAGGGGGCGAGCGUUGUCCGGAUUUAUUGGGCGUAAAGAGCUCGUAGGCGGUUCGGUAAGUCGGAUGUGAAAUCUCCACGCUCAACGUGGAGGGGCCAUUCGAUACUGCCGUGACUCGAGUCCGGUAGGGGAGUGUGGAAUUCCCGGUGUAGCGGUGAAAUGCGCAGAGAUCGGGAAGAACAUCAGUGGCGAAGGCGGCCUGCUGGGCUGUUGCUGACGCUGAGGAGCGAAAGCGUGGGGAGCGAACAGG
rnacentral:rRNA from 1 species